UACGGGGGGGGGCAAGCGUUGUUCGGAAUUACUGGGCGUAAAGGGCUCGUAGGCGGCCAACUAAGUCGGAUGUGAAAUCCCCAGGCUUAACCUGGGAACUGCAUCCGAUACUGGAUGGCUUGAAUCCGGGAGAGGGAUGCGGAAUUCCAGGUGUAGCGGUGAAAUGCGUAGAUAUCUGGAGGAACACCGGUGGCGAAGGCGGCAUCCUGGACCGGCAUUGACGCUGAGGAGCGAAAGCAUGGGGAGC
rnacentral:rRNA from 1 species